AACGAACGCUGGCGGCAUGCCUAACACAUGCAAGUCGAACGAGACCUUCGGGUCUAGUGGCGCACGGGUGCGUAACGCGUGGGAACCUGCACUUAGGUUCGGAAUAACUCCCCGAAAGGGGUGCUAAUACCGGAUAAUGUCUUCGGACCAAAGAUUUAUCGCCUUUGGAUGGGCCCGCGUUGGAUUAGCUAGUUGGUAGGGUAAAAGCCUGCCAAGGCGACGAUCCAUAGCUGGUCUGAGAGGAUGAUCAGCCACACUGGGACUGAGACACGGCCCAGACUCCUACGGGAGGCAGCAGUGGGGAAUAUUGGACAAUGGGCGAAAGCCUGAUCCAGCAAUGCCGCGUGAGUGAUGAAGGCCUUAGGGUUGUAAAGCUCUUUUACCCGGGAUGAUAAUGACAGUACCGGGAGAAUAAGCUCCGGCUAACUCCGUG
rnacentral:rRNA from 1 species